rnacentral:rRNA from 1 species
CACGUAGGGUGCGAGCGUUGUCCGGAAUUAUUGGGCGUAAAGAGCUCGUAGGCGGUGUGUCGCGUCGGCCGUGAAAACCUGCAGCUUAACUGUGGGCUUGCGGUCGAUACGGGCAUCACUGGAGUUCGGCAGGGGAGACUGGAAUUCCUGGUGUAGCGGUGAAAUGCGCAGAUAUCAGGAGGAACACCGGUGGCGGAAGGCGGCUCACUGGUCCGGUACUGACGCUGGAGGUGACGAAAGCGUGGGGAGCAAACAGG